rnacentral:rRNA from 1 species
AGCGGCGUGCCUAAUGUAUGCAAGUCGAGCGGAGUGAGAGACUUCGGUUUCUCAUUCAGCGGCAAACGGUUGAGUAACACGUAGGCAACCUGCCCCAGAGACGGGGAUAGCCCGCCGAAAGGCGGAUUAAUACCGGAUGUGGCGAGGGAAGGCAUCUUCCCUCUGCUAAAGGGAGCAAUGCGCUCUGGGAUGGGCCUGCGGCCUAUCAGCUAGUUGGUGAGGUGACGGCUCACCAAGGCGACGACGGGUAGCUGGUCUGAGAGGAUGGUCAGCCAGACAGGGACUGAGACACGGCCCUGACUCCUUUGGGGGGCAGCAAUGAGGGAUAUUGCACAAUGGGCGAAAGCCUGAUGCAGCGACGCCGCGUGGGUGACGAAGUCCUUCGGGAUGUAAAGCCCUUUUCUCGGGGAAGAGAACGGACGGUACCCGAGGAAUAAGCCCCGGCUAACUACGUGCCAGCAGCCGCGGUAAUACGUAGGGGGCAAGCGUUGUCCGGAAUUACUGGGCGU